UGAUACUAAGCCAUGCGAGUCGUUGUAGCAAUACAAGGCAUACGGCUCAGUAACGCGUAGUCAACCUAACCUAUGGACGGGAAUAACCUCGGGAAACUGAGAAUAAUGCCCGAUAGAACAUUAUGCCUGGAAUGGUUUAUGUUCCAAAUGAUUUAUCGCCGUAGGAUGGGACUGCGGCCUAUCAGUUUGUUGGUGAGGUAAUGGCCCACCAAGACUAUUACAGGUACGGGCUCUGAGAGGAGUAGCCCGGAGAUGGGUACUGAGACACGGACCCAGGCCCUAUGGGGCGCAGCAGGCGAGAAAACUUUGCAAUGUGCGAAAGCACGACAAGGUUAAUCCGAGUGGUUUCUGCUAAAGGAACCUUUUGUCAGUCCUAGAAACACUGAUGAAUAAGGGGUGGGCAAGUUCUGGUGUCAGCCGCCGCGGUAAAACCAGCACCUCAAGUGGUCAGGAUGAUUAUUGGGCCUAAAGCAUCCGUAGCCGGCUCUGUAAGUUUUCGGUUAAAUCUGUACGCUCAACGUACAGGCUGCCGGGAAUACUGCAAAGCUAGGGAGUGGGAGAGGUAGACGGUACUCGGUAGGAAGGGGUAAAAUCCUUUGAUCUAUUGAUGACCACCUGUGGCGAAGGCGGUCUACCAGGACACGUCCGACGGUGAGGGAUGAAAGCUGGGGGAGCAAACCGGAUUAGAUACCCGGGUAGUCCCAGCUGUAAACCAUGCAAACUCAGUGAUGCAUUGGCUUGUGGCCAAUGCAGUGCUGCAGGGAAGCCGUUAAGUUUGCCGCCUGGGAAGUACGUACGCAAGUAUGAAACUUAAAGGAAUUGGCGGGGGAGCACCACAAGGGGUGAAGCCUGCGGUUCAAUUGG
rnacentral:rRNA from 1 species